rnacentral:lncRNA from 1 species
AAUCUACAGGUCGAGCAAGUCUCGUAAAUUUCACGAUUGCGAGCCACGCUUCACGCAACCGUGUUUGCGUACUUGUGUUUCGAGUUGCGUGGUCGUGCGGAGUUAUAUUUACCAAAUUUAAAUAUAAUCGUUUCUACUGAUUCAUAAUAAUAUAUUUAUGUCAAUAUGGCUACUGCUGGGUGUAAAAGAUAAAUAUUAUUCUAUCUGUUCUUAAUGAGUUUUAGAUAAUUUUAGUUGUAUUUCUUUGUAAUUUUGUGUUGUACAAAGAUUAAUUUAACAUUUUCUCUGGAAGUAUUAAUUUAGAAAGAUAAUAUGCUUCAUUGGUGUUGUGUUUUGAAGUGUGAAAUGCAAAGUAAUUGUGAUAGAGUCAAGAUAAAGUUCACUUUUCAACUGAACUAAAUAAGGUAUCUGAGAGACAACAAUGGUUAAAUGCAAUACAAUGUACAGGUUUUACUAGCGAAAUGAAAAUUUUCCUGUCCUGUCUGCUGUAAUCAUUUUAUAUCUGGUAAGUUACAAUUACAACAGUAACGAUUUUUGAAGAUGUUAACAUUUUAAUCUUAUAGGAAAACCAGCCGACUUAAUCGAUAAUAACAAUCUCCAGAUUGGGUUCCUUCAAUAAAUAUGGGCUAUAAACACAAUGAAAUAAGUUCCCCAAAAUCUAAAAUGGAGUGGUAUCAAAGGAGAAUUAAAGGAAAAAAUAUUCAUAUUGAAAUUAUUUAUAAGGCACUGGACUGUCUUAAAUUCUACAAUAAUACUAGAAUCAGCUGAGAGAAGUGGUCUACAAAAAACCAGGAAGGAAAUGGAAUAUGUGGCUACGAAAGGCAAAAGAAAGGUUUACAAAGCAAAUGUGACACAUUUUUUUGAAAUAUUUAGGAAUAUCAGUAAAUUGCAUUAAAAAAAUGUAUGAAAAGAUUUUGUUCAAUAAAAAUGUUUAUAUUUA